rnacentral:rRNA from 1 species
UACGGGGGGGGCAAGCGUUGUUCGGAAUUCCUGGGCGUAAAGGGCUCGUAGGCGGCCAACUAAGUCAGACGUGAAAUCCCUCGGCUUAACCGGGGAACUGCGUCUGAUACUGGAUGGCUUGAGUUCGGGAGAGGGAUGCGGAAUUCCAGGUGUAGCGGUGAAAUGCGUAGAUAUCUGGAGGAACACCGGUGGCGAAGGCGGCAUCCUGGACCGACACUGACGCUGAGGAGCGAAAGCCAGGGGAGCAAACGGG